CUUUUCUAGGGCUGCACCCACGGCAUAUGGUGGUUCCCAGGCUAAAGGUUCAAUUGGAGCUACAGCUGCUGGCCUACGCCAGAGCCACAGCAACGCAGGAUCUGAGCCACGUCUGCAACCUACACCACAGCUCACGGCAACGCCGGACUCUUAACCCACUGAGCGAGGCCAGGGAUCAAACCCGCAACCUCAUGGUUCCUGGUCUCGGUAACCAACUACAGCUCCGGUAACUAAAACACCAGGUUUCUCUGCUGCAGGCUAGGCUUACACGGACUAAGGGAGGCAGAGCUCUUCAGCUCCCCAUGACCCAAGUGCUGAUUUCUUAUUUGUCACGAUGGGUGGUGGGUGGAUAAGAUCCAUUUCCAAAGCUGCAUGUAUGAUGCCCAUACAAUUCCAUGUUAGUUCCUCUGUUAUUGCGGUGCUAGGAUGGGAUAAUAAUUGAUGAGAUAAUCAAAUUGCUUAAAAGAGGCAGUGGACUUGCAAAACCAAAUGAUUCAGAAUCGAGUUCAUAGGAACCAAGGUCCUGUGGGUUCCACCUCCUCAGAGCCUCACAAAUCCAUCCAUUUAUCUCCAUUCCUGUUUCUACCUACGCAGCCCGUCUGUCAUCAUCCUAAAUCCGGCUCACCGAACCAGACUCCGACUCAUCUCCAGGCUCCCCGCUCCCGUGCAUCUUCCGCAUAGCAUCUCUCACAUCUGCCCUAAUCGCAGAUGCAACCGCAUCCCUCCAGCUAAAACCCCUCCCUGGCUCCCACUGCCUCCAGGAUAAGGUUCAGCCUCCUCCACGUUUGUGGCUCCAGAUCCUGCCUGAUCCUGGCCCUCUCUCUCCAGCCUCUCUCGCAUGCCCCUCACUCCCCUCCCCAACUCCCACCUCUUGCUCUUCAUCAGUCCUUCACAGGCAAGAAACAGCCACUGCAGGGCUCAAAGCCUCACUCUCCCUCUAUGAUAGGCUUUCGCGGGCAUUGCUCUUUCUCCUCGGGACAGGCCAGUUUCCUCCCUGCCUUCCCUUAGUCUAGCAAAUUCUUGUUUAAACUUCCGAAUUUUUGUUUGGCCUACCACAUCUGGGUACCAGCCUCCGCCCCCAUCCCACCAUGCUCCCGUGGCCCUCUGUGGACUCCUGCCAGAGAAUGGACUGCCUUGUACCACAAUGCUUGCCUCUUUCUCCCCAGGUGGGACAGGUGCCCUCCUUCCUUCUGCUUCCCCCCUCCAUCCCUCCCUUCUUCCUUCCUUCCUUCCUUCCUUUCUUUUCUCCACCCAAGUUUGCUAAGGCUUUAUUGGCAAAUCUUUUAGGAAGGAAAGAUUAAUCCUACUGCUUCAAAGUCCACGGGAUGAAGAGCCAUGUCCAGGGACACAAGGGGUGCUGAAGGGGACUGCUGCUUUGUUUCCCUGUCAUACAUAGAUUCCGGCAAAGGCACAAGUCUUGUAGUCCCCACUUCUCCAGACUUAAACUGUAGGCUGACAUCUUCCCCAGCUCUUUUUACUGAAUCACUGCUAUGAAUGAUGUUCCUGCCGCCUUGAAUGCAGACAUCCCCUCAUAUCGUGCUCGACUUAGAUUCUGCUGGAUGGGUCUCCCCAGGCAUCCCUCUCCCUGUCUAUACCACAUUCAGCCCCUCCAGACCAUGGCCACAGCAGGGCCCUGAGUCCAUGCGCUUCUCCAGCCUCGAGGGGAGUGGGUGGCCAUUCAGGUCAGCGUUGUGCUGCUUUCGAGGCCCUCGGAGGCCUGAAGGAACUUCCGUGCCCAUGAGGCAGAAUCCCUUCUGCUGGAAACACUUGAUGGUCUCGUCCCACCUGGCCAAGCUGCCUGCCCUUCAGUGGGCAGGCAAUGAAGGUGUGGUCCCUGUAGGCUGUGGUCCCAGAAGCCGGGACCCUAACUCUAACCCUAAAUCUGACCCUAGGUGGGUGGGUGGUGGAUUCUCCAUGGAACCCGUCUUAUUCACAGCUCCACCUCAGUGCCCAGCACAGAACCUGGCAUCUGGUAGCUGACUUUUUUAAAUGUUACUAAUAAUUAAAAAGAUCUUUGGAGAACUUAGGCAGGGUUUCGGAAUGUUUGGACCAAUCUCAGUGAGAGUCGGGGAGAGCCGUGCCUUCUUCCCAUAUCCUCCCAUGGAGCCUGCCUUGCCCAGACCCCAGCCGCACAGGACGCACAGAUGCUCCCUGUCCCUCGGCUCAGACAGAGGCCACCGUGCACUGCCGGCUGCCACCCUCUGUCCACACAGGCUGGGGAGGCCAGCAGGCCUGGCUGGGCCCACCCCAUGCAGAAUGCUGAGGGCCGGCUUCACUUCGUCCGCAGACCAGAGGAGGGUCUGGGCUGUCCCACCCCCUCUGCGCCGCUGGACUGGCCCCCGCUGGGCCCCAAGCCAGAGCGAGAAGAAGGUACAGUCACUCUCCAUUUCCCACAAAUUGAUCCUCGGUUCCUAUUGCAGAAAAAAACAAAGCACCUUCCACUCUUGAGAUGCCAGGACCCCGUAGUGUCUCAGAGCUUCAGGGACCCUAAGAGAGCACCCGGGCUAACCUCCCUGUUCUCUGCUCCCUGCACGGGGUGCAAAUUCGGAACCCCAGGUACAGAGCUGGGGCGCAGUUUGAGCAGGCCCCCGGUGGGGGUCCAUGAGCUGGGGCCGUGCACCCAGGUCUCCCGCUUCCCGCUUCAUAUCCUGUCCGGCCCCCAAGCGGAAUAAACACCUAGAAUGUCCAUCUGUGCAGGCACACCUCCCGUGACAGGGAGCUGGGUGCCUCUGGGCAAAAUCUAGAGAGCGCGCGAGGUGGAAAGAACCGUCCUGAAUGCCGAGUCCUCAGGGGACCCUGGGGCCUGGAAAGCAGACGGGCAGCNAAAAAAAAAAAAAAAAAAAAAAAAAAAAAAA
rnacentral:lncRNA from 1 species